rnacentral:rRNA from 1 species
GCAUCAUUCUGUAAUUAAAGUCACAACGGUGAAAGAUGAGCAUGCGUCCCAUUAGCUAGUUGGUAAGGUAACGGCUUACCAAGGCUACGAUGGGUAGGGGUCCUGAGAGGGAGAUCCCCCACACUGGUACUGAGACACGGACCAGACUCCUACGGGAGGCAGCAGUGAGGAAUAUUGGUCAAUGGACGCAAGUCUGAACCAGCCAUGCCGCGUGCAGGAUGACGGUCCUAUGGAUUGUAAACUGCUUUUGCACAGGAAGAAACACUCCGACGUGUCGGAGCUUGACGGUACUGUGAGAAUAAGGAUCGGCUAACUCCGUGCCAGCAGCCGCGGUAAUACGGAGGAUCCAAGCGUUAUCCGGAAUCAUUGGGUUUAAAGGGUCCGUAGGCGGUCUUGUAAGUCAGUGGUGAAAGCCCAUCGCUCAACGGUGGAACGGCCAUUGAUACUGCAGGACUUGAAUUAUUGGGAAGUAACUAGAAUAUGUAGUGUAGCGGUGAAAUGCUUAGAGAUUACAUGGAAUACCAAUUGCGAAGGCAGGUUACUACCAAUGGAUUGACGCUGAUGGACGAAAGCGUGGGUAGCGAACAGGAUUAGAUACCCUGGUAGUCCACGCCGUAAACGAUGGAUACUAGCUGUUGGGAGCAAUCUCAGUGGCUAAGCGAAAGUGAUAAGUAUCCCACCUGGGGAGUACGAACGCAAGUUUGAAACUCAAAGGAAUUGACGGGGGCCCGCACAAGCGGUGGAGCAUGUGGUUUAAUUCGAUGAUACGCGAGGAACCUUACCAAGGCUUAAAUGCAGACUGACCGAUUUGGAAACAGAUCUUUCGCAAGACAGUUUACAAGGUGCUGCAUGGUUGUCGUCAGCUCGUGCCGUGAGGUGUCAGGUUAAGUCCUAUAACGAGCGCAACCCCUGUUGUUAGUUGCCAGCGAGUCAAGUCGGGAACUCUAACAAGACUGCCAGUGCAAACUGUGAGGAAGGUGGGGAUGACGUCAAAUCAUCACGGCCCUUACGCCUUGGGCUACACACGUGCUACAAUGGCCGGUACAGAGAGCAGCCACUGGGCGACCAGGAGCGAAUCUAUAAAGCCGGUCACAGUUCGGAUCGGAGUUUGC